GACGAACGCUGGCGGCGUGCUUAACACAUGCAAGUCGAACGAUGAAGCCGGAGCUUGCUCUGGUGAAUUAGUGGCGAACGGGUGAGUAACACGUGAGUAACCUGCCCUUGACUCUGGGAUAACUGCUAGAAAUGGUAGCUAAUACCGGAUACGACCCUCGGAGGCAUCUCCAGGGGGUGGAAAGAAUUUCGGUCAAGGAUGGACUCGCGGCCUAUCAGCUAGUUGGUGAGGUAACGGCUCACCAAGGCGACGACGGGUAGCCGGCCUGAGAGGGUGGCCGGCCACACUGGGACUGAGACACGGCUCAGACUCCUACGGGAGGCAGCAGUGGGGAAUAUUGCACAAUGGGCGCAAGCCUGAUGCAGCAACGCCGCGUGAGGGAUGACGGCCUUCGGGUUGUAAACCUCUUUUAGUAGGGAAGAAGCGAAAGUGACGGUACCUGCAGAAAAAGCACCGGCUAACUACGUGCCAGCCGCCGCAGUAA
rnacentral:rRNA from 1 species